rnacentral:rRNA from 1 species
GGAAUAUUGGUCAAUGGGCGCGAGCCUGAACCAGCCAAGUAGCGUGCAGGACGACGGCCCUAUGGGUUGUAAACUGCUUUUAUGCGGGGAUAAAGUGCGGCACGUGUGCCGUUUUGUAGGUACCGCAUGAAUAAGGACCGGCUAAUUCCGUGCCAGCAGCCGCGGUAAUACGGAAGGUCCGGGCGUUAUCCGGAUUUAUUGGGUUUAAAGGGAGCGCAGGCCGGAGGUCAAGCGUGACGUGAAAUGUAGCCGCUCAACGGCUGAGUUGCGUCGCGAACUGGUUUCCUUGAGUGAGUACGACGUCAGCGGAAUUCGUGGUGUAGCGGUGAAAUGCUUAGAUAUCACGAAGAACCCCGAUUGCGAAGGCAGCUGACGAGUCCUUUACUGACGCUAAAGCUCGAAGGUGCGGGUAUCGAACA